rnacentral:lncRNA from 1 species
GUAAAGAAUACACAAGCAACGUAUACCCUUAAUGGAAGCGAAUUAGGGAUAACAACACACGAAAAGGACUUAGGAAUUGUUAUAGACAACAAACUAUGCAACAAUGUGCAAUGUCAAUCAGCAGUGGCCAAGGCCAGUAAGGUAUUGUCAUGCAUGAAAAGGGCAUUCAUUCUCGGGACGAGAAUAUCAUUUUGCCUCUUUAUAAAUCACUGGUAAGAC